UUCUUUCUCCUCUCUUCUCUCCCUUAAUUACUCAUGGUCCUUCUUCUUCUCUCCCCAUCUUAUUUUCUCUCUCACGUCCUCUCUUUAUCUUCUUCCCUUUAUGCUCCCUUCUCCUCGCAAAGCCUCCCUUUGUUUUCUCUCUCCUCUUAUCACCGGUCACUGCAACACCACCGAGGUACAGCAAAACACCAACCCACCACCGAGCAACUACCCACAUCAACUUGCCUCAUUAAUUUUUUUUCAAUUCUAAAUUUAAUUAGGUAAGUAUUUAGAUCUAGUUUUGAUGUAGUUGUUCCUUUUUAUUUUUUAUUUUUUAUGUUGGCUAGAAUAUGCAUGUUUGCAAGUGGAUGGUGGUGGAAUCAGUGGCCGGUGGUGGAAGAGAGUAGCAAAAAAUUAUUAAUUUAUUUAUUUUUGAGUUUUUUUUUUUAGAUUCAUAUGCAUGGUGGCAUCAAUGGCGGUGGUGGGCAGGUGGCGUCAGAUGCGAUGGUGGCGUCAGAUGAGGUGGUGGCAGAAUAGCAACAGUUGAAUGAUGUCAUUUAAAUGGGCAAUGGGAAGCCCCCUAAGCCCAAGCGGUUCAAAACCGCUUGCCAUUAAGGGGUUUGAAUCGCUUGCCAUUUACUUUUUUUAGAAGUGCCUAUUUGUUAGUUUGCCCCUAGGCCCCUAAAAUGUCAUAAACGACCAUGGCUCUAACACCUACUUGUUGCUGCACACCUUAUCCUUAACCACACUCCAUCGUUAACCUUCACGCACCAUAACAUCACUGCAAAAUCUUCACCAACCUGAAACACCUUAAAUCACCAAUUUACCGCCACUCAACACCCCUUUUGUUUCAUCACGCACCAAAUAAAACCCAUCACCAACUACAAACCAAUCCCAACCAAUAUCAUGCCACAGUCCCUAAACCUCACUACAACACUAACAAGCAGCAACAUUGCUCUACCAACAAAACCGCCAAUCAACUCCCCUACACUACUACAAAAGGAGCUAUUUUUCGACGCUAUUACUUCGACGCUACGGCUAGGGCGUCAACUUUAAAUUAUGAUAUCCGUGUUUCCUCGAUGCUUUUUAGUGUCUAAAGUAAUUUUAGACUAUUUUUAGCGUCGAGAAUACGGACAUCUGCCCCGCACGUGAACUGAAUCAGGUAAACCCACGAAUUAAAAUACCACCCAAUGUCACAAACCCGGAAACCCCCAACCGCCUCAUAUUCUCUUAACCCUAACUAAUUUUUUUCCCUUCAUUCGAUCUGAAUUCUACACAAAUUCAUGGUGUCAUGGCUUAGAUUUCGAAUUCAGAUCUCAUUUCCCCUUGUGUUUCUCAUUAUUCUAUCACAAUAAUUGAUAUAUUUUGCCGAAAAUAAUUGUCUUCCUCUCAGAUCUGAUGGUUUGCGUUGAAAAUUGAUAUGCGAUAGCUAUUGUUCGUGUUCUCCUCAAAGAGUCGAAUGGUUAAUAGGGUUAGAGAUUAUAUCGUGGAGCUAAAGAAACUCCUGGAAAGAAGAGCUUGUAUGGAACUAAUUAAUGGGCAUUGCAGUUGGAUGCUAAUUAAGCACAGCUGAUCUUGACGAACUAUAUUGGUCCUCAGUAUGAAAUAGAGUAUACUGGUCUUCAGUAUGAAAUAGAGACACGAACUACGGUAAGUUUACUCAAAACAUGAGAAUUAUUAAUCCAUUAUAGCUAGGAAAGUAAUGAGAUAAUUAUAAGUUCAAAAUUGCACAAUUAAGUUGUGUACUAUACUUGCUAUGAGCUUUUGUUUUGCUUACUGUUGUUUUUCAAAUAUUUGAUUUUUUUUAUCAAGUUAUUAAUUAUCCUUGUUGUUGAGUGGUAUGGCGGUAUUUUUUUGUCCAUGUUUCUCUUGAUUUAUUCUACUUCUUAUGCCUAGAGUUGAAAUAUUUAAAAUAGACUCUAAAAUGGUUGUAUUGUUGUAAACGUUUGAUUACAUUUGGACCUUUUUGAAACCUUGUUUGUGAUAGAGACUUACUAGUUCUUUUAAUUAAAAAUUUAUGAAUUCAAAUGAAUUUAGUUUUAAUUACCAUACUGGUUAUGUGAAUACUUCUAGUUUAGCUCCCAGGAUGAGGUUAGUCAGUUAAAAUGUCUCAAUUUAAAAGUGACACUUAGCCUUACCUUGGCAAUUGCAGUGAGACUAUUCCAACUCUACACAUUCUUUUUAUUUCUGGCUGUGUAGGUGUUUUAUAUUUUGUUGCUGGUAAUAUUACCAUGGUUUGGAGUUUUUUUUAUAUGUCGCAGCUAUGUAUUGUUGAUGAUGUUAUUUUACCAUUGUCCUGCAGUUGCAGUAAUGUUCAUCCCAAAAAUUAUAGAUCUACAGUCAUUUUUAGCCUCUAAUCCCUUCAUGAAAGUUAUAGAUCUAAAAAAGUCAUCCAAUUUAGGCUCAAGAAUCUCUCAAUUUGGAAUUGUGUGCUAGGAGUUAUGCCUUCUGGAAAUUUUGUGGUAUUCUGGCUUGAUUCUAUCGCUGCGGGGCUGUUAUAUUUACUUGAUGCCUGUGUGUGUGGGUUUUUUCCCUGUAGUUGGGUGGGCUUGCUAAAAUGAAUACAUUGGCUUCUCUUAUUUGUUUUAAUCUGAUUUUCCUCUAAUUAAUUAUAUAUUAGUUUAAAGAAGUACGGUUGUGUUCUUGCAUUGUAAGCAAAUGCUUGAUUUGAAUAUGAAGUGAAUGGCUUUAACAGGGGAAGGAUUCGUUACAUUUUUGUAAUUUUUUCAGCUAGAGGUGUAUGCUUAAUUGGGUUCUUCACAAGUUUAUCAAACCCACCAAUGUAUUAUUAGAAAAAAUUGCAGGUUGAUUUCUAUUUUCUAAUUAUCAACUUAUGUAUCUAAACAUAAUAAUAUAAAAUGAGUUAACUACUAUCAACUAGUGAACUCUUAAUAAAAUAGAUAGUUAAAUCGUGUGUUGAGUCUAUAAUUAAUGAUGCGUGAUGAUUGAUUAUUAGUAGCAUGUUAGGGAUUUCUUUUAUUUCGUAGCUUGUAUGUACUCA